rnacentral:lncRNA from 1 species
AGGGAGGGACACGGCCCCGGGGGGGGGGUGUGUGGCCCGCGUGGAACUUUCCGUGUCCCUGCGUGUCCCCGGCCCGGUGUCCCCGUGUCCCCACAGUGCCCUGUCCCCGUGGUCCCCCUCUGCCCCAUCCCCACGGUGUCCCCUCUCCACGGUUCCCGUGUCCCCAAGGUCCUCGUGUGCCCCCCUCCUCAUGGUGCCAGCGUCCCCAAGGUCCUCCUAUGCCCCCUCCCCACAGCUCCCGUGUCCCCAAGGUCUCCUGUCCCCAUCCACCCCCUCCUGCCAGUGCCUGUGUCCCCACAUUGCCCCUUCGCUGGGGUCCCCAUGUCCCUGUGUGUCCCCUCCUCAGGGUGCCAUGGUCUCCUUGUCCCCAUGUGCCCCAUUCCUGUGGUGUCCAUGUCCCCAUGGUCCCCGUGUGCCCACUUCUCGCGGUGCCCUCGUCCCCGUGGUGCCCCUUCCCUUGUCCCUGUGGUCCCCAUGUCCCCAGGUGCCCCUUCCCUGAGGUGUCCAUGUCCCUACAUGUCCCCCUUCUCACAGCGACCUCGUCCCCACGAUGUCCCUUCUGUGGGGGUUCCUUGUCCCCGUGGUGCCUGUGCCCUUGGCACUAUGGUCCCUGUGUCCCCACCAUCCCCCCUCAUGUCCCCUAUGGCCCCAUGGUGUCCCUUCUCCACGGUGCACUUCUCCCUACAGUCCCUGUGUCCCCCUGGUCCCCGUGUCCCCAUUGUGCCCCCCUUUGUCCUCAUGGUCCCCUAUGUCCCCAUUGUCCCCACCGUGCCCCUUCCCUGUGUUGUUCUUGUCCCCAUGGUCUGCUUGUCCCCCAAGUCCCCCCGUGCCCCUUCCCUGUAGUGUCCUUGUCCCCGUGGUCCCUGUGUCCCCAUUGCCCCCCCAAUGUCCCCAGAGUCCCCUCUGUCUCCAUUGUCCCCAUGGUGCCCCUUGUGCGGUGCCCUUGUCUCCAAGGUCCCUCUGUCCCCCAUGGUUCUCCCUAUGCCCCAUCCCUGCGGUGCCCGUGCCCCCUUGGGGGGGGUGCUGGUGUCCCCCAUGUCUCCUCUGUCUCCAUUGUCCCCAUGGUGCCCCUUGUGCGGUGCCCUUGUCUCCAAGGUCCCUCUGUCCCCCAUGGUUCUCCCUAUGCCCCAUCCCUGCGGUGCCCGUGCCCCCUUGGGGGGGUGCUGGUGUCCCCCAUGGCCCCCCCCCCCCCCUUUGUCCCCCAGGCAGGGCUGGCACAGUGCCAGCGCGAGGCAGAGGAGGUGACGGAGCUGAUGAAGCAGAACUUUGCGCGGGCGCUGGAGCGGGACGGGCGCCUCAGUGACCUCGACAGCCGGGCCCAGGAGCUGCGCGCCAUGGGCGAAGUCUUCAGCCGCAGCACCCGGGUGGUGGCUCAGCAGCAGCGCAGGGGACACCGACGCUGGCGCCUGGCAGCCAUCGGCCUCGCUGCCUUCCUCCUCCUCUUCCUCAUCCUCGUCCUCAGCCUGGCCCUAUGGCUCUCACGGCCAGCCCCUGCCGUCGUCACUGUCACUGUCCCCCCCCCACCCCUUCCUGGGGGGACUAAGCCCCCCUCCGAGCCACAGCUGGGACUUUGGGAGACCCUACAAUAACGCAAGAGUGAGAACUAUUUUGGGGAGACCCAAAUAACAAACCCUCAGGAUCUGCUUUGGGGAGACCUUCCUGUAAAUAAGAACCAGGACUUGUUUGGAGGAGACCCUACAAUAACAAAAGCGCCAGCCCCCCUCCCCCCCCCGAGGAGACCCUACAAUAAUAAACCCACAGGACCCACUACGGGGAGAUCUAAC